ensembl:misc_RNA 7SK 7SK RNA
GAAUGUGAAUGUGAUCUAGCUGUGGUAUCGGUUUCAUCACUGAUCUCCAGGAAUGAUUCGCUCAUCUGGCAUCCGUGAGUAGUAACUCCAUCCUCACUACUCCACACACUUCUCUCCCGCUGUGUGCUUUGCUCCGAAGAAGACAGGAUGGUUCUGAGAUGAGGGGACGAGUAGGGCACUGAUCUCACUCUAGGAAAACAUCACAUUCCAUUAUCCUGGACACAAAUCAUAAUACUUGGUGACAUG